GCCGGGAAGGGGGCGGAAUCCUCCGCCCUCGACGCACGCGCGGUAGCCGCCCGUCGCCGCCGCAGACAUGAGCCGCUGCAAGUUCGUCGGCUCAAACAUAGGUACAGUGAAGAUCCUUAAGUCACAAACGGAGCACCAACUUCACAAAAUUCCCUCACUCAAGCUGCUUGGCUGAACUACGUAGUGUUGACCUGCAGCUUCUGCUAUAUGGAUCAUUUGAAUCUCCAAUUGUUACUUCAAACCUAGUUGUAACCUACUGAAAAAAAAUAAUGGAAUACAAGGUUGCUAAACUAAAGAAUAAAAAUAUCCUGUCUUAUGCACUGUAAGAUACCACACUACAAGUUAUGGGUCCCAAGCCAACCUCUUCCAAUGCCUUAAAAGAAUUUUUCUUUUCUAGAAAUUCAGCUGUUGACUACACUGGAUUUACUUAAGCUUUGUGACUGUUUUGAGCUGGUAUUUCUUGAAAGCUUACCAAAUGUACAGGUUACACAAAUAUCUAAGGGCCUAAUUUGCUUAACUCCAUAACACAAUGUUGAUCCUUAUUUGUUACUUGUAUUGCUUAUAAGAAAGUGCAUAUUGGUUAAAUACAUAAGAAUAUUUUAGCUCCA